GGAAUCUUCGGCAAUGGACGCAAGUCUGAUGGAGCAACGCCGCGUGAGUGAAGAAGGUCUUCGGAUCGUAAAACUCUGUUGUUAGAGAAGAACACGAGUGAGAGUAACUGUUCAUUCGAUGACGGUAUCUAACCAGCAAGUCACGGCUAACUACGUGUCAG
rnacentral:rRNA from 1 species